CUGAUCGCCGAUCAGCAAUUGUUGUUCUUUCGUUUAUCAGCUGUUCGAACCGUUACUAAAGUGUGAUUUUAGGGGCAAACAAAUUUGCUUGUUUACUUUACUUUAAUGUUUAGGAAUUAUCUCAAACAAGGAAAGUGAAAUUGUUAUUUAUCAAUAAACGGACCACUAACCAUUUUUUAUAUUUGUAAAGCCAUCAGAUUUCUUCUUCGUCUUGUAUUUAUAUUCGUCACGUUACUAUGCAGAGGAUUAUUAAACAUAUUUACUAACGUUAGGUGAAGGAAGGUUUGCACAAUUGUCCAAGGUGCAGAAUUAUAUCCGAGUAGCAAGUAACGUUCAUCAUAGCACUAAUCCUAAAAACUUUUUCUUAUAACAACAAUAACAAUAACACGUAGGAUCUUCUAAUCACAGCAAAAUUAAACAAAAGCGACGCAGGUUGCUUUUUCCAUCCCCUUGCUGUUAAAUUGCUGACAUGCUUCAUGAAAUGACUGGAGCUAAUAUACAAAUUCAUUUAAAUGUAAACGGCUGCCUUUUGUGCUUGAGCAUUUGGUUUUAAUGAGUGCAAUUUUUUUUCGGAAUACCUCGUGAGUUAAUAACGACGUACAAAUUCAUCUAUUUGUGCUAUGGCAGCUGUACAGACAAAAUAAAAUUUUGUUUUUUAACUUAAGUUAAUAGUUAGAAAAAUAACUCUAAGUAAAAAUGCCACAUGGUAAAGAGCUAUCAGAUGGAUAGCGAAGUAGGCUAAUUUGAAUGCAAGAAGCCGGCAUAAAAAUUUGCGUAUUAGUAUUCUUGGUCGAAUUGCUGCUUCAGUGUACCGACAUCGUAAUACAGUCACAAAUUAUUUGAAACAUCAUCAAAACAAUGAUGAUAUCAAGCGUAUUGGUCGGUUACCAACAGUUGAUAAGCGGACCAAGAGACGCAUUCACCGUUCCCACGACAGUCGGGUCUACGAAAACCGGAACGGACCCGGAUUUUUAUCCGGCCAAGGACUGUCAACUCGGCAGAAUUCUGCCGUUACAACAAUAACAACGCAUUCAUCAUUUAGCAACUAGCGAAAGCAUGAGAAUGAGGCUAGAUAGAUAGAUAGAUAGAAUAUUUGAGGUAAUGGACCGCGAUCUAAGGUCCAGGGCCUUAAGCCUUUUUCCACAGAUUGCUGAGCAAUCCAGGAUUAGGUGUGCUGGUGUUUCCUGCUCCAGGUCGCAGAAU